rnacentral:lncRNA from 1 species
GAUGUCGGAGAAGAAGUAGGUGUUGGUUGGUCAGGUGGUAUAUUAGGUGUGGUAGAAGUGAUCGUAGUAGGGACAGUAGGAAAAGUAUUGGUCGGAGUAGUAGGUAGUGGCGUCGGGACAGGAGUAGGGUGGAUAGGAGUAGGGGUAGUAGGUAGUGGCGGCGGGACAUGGGUAGGUUUAGUGGUCGUUGUUGAGGCAGGUAUGGGCUGUUGCUCGAUAAGUGAUGAUGUCGCAGGAAGCAACCAAUCAUCAAAAGGGAGAUCUGUAUUCAUCACCGGCGGCGAGGCAGAGGUAGAGUCAUCAAUUCCGGGGAACUGAUCCUCAAAGAAAACCACAUCUUGAGAAGUGAAGAACUCACUGGAUUCAAUAUCAUACAAUCUCCAAACUUUCUUGCCGGAGUAACCAACGAAAAUACACUUGUGGCUUCUGGUGCCGA